rnacentral:rRNA from 1 species
AGUCUUAACCGGGCGUUAAGUUGCAGGGUAUAGACCCGAAACCCGGUGAUCUAGCCAUGGGCAGGUUGAAGGUUGGGUAACACUAACUGGAGGACCGAACCGACUAAUGUUGAAAAAUUAGCGGAUGACCUGUGGCUGGGGGUGAAAGGCCAAUCAAACCGGGAGAUAGCUGGUUCUCCCCGAAAGCUAUUUAGGUAGCGCCUCGUGAACUCAUCUCCGGGGGUAGAGCACUGUUUCGGCUAGGGGGCCAUCCCGGCUUACCAACCCGAUGCAAACUGCGAAUACCGGAGAAUGUUAUCACGGGAGACACACGGCGGGUGCUAACGUCCGUCGUGAAGAGGGAAACAACCCAGACCGCCAGCUAAGGUCCCAAAGUCAUGGUUAAGUGGGAAACGAUGUGGGAAGGCCCAGACAGCCAGGAUGUUGGCUUAGAAGCAGCCAUCAUUUAAAGAAAGCGUAAUAGCUCACUGGUCGAGUCGGCCUGCGCGGAAGAUGUAACGGGGCUAAACCAUGCACCGAAGCUGCGGCAGCGACACUCAGGUGUUGUUGGGUAGGGGAGCGUUCUGUAAGCCUGUGAAGGUGUGUCGUGAGGCAUGCUGGAGGUAUCAGAAGUGCGAAUGCUGACAUAAGUAACGAUAAAGCGGGUGAAAAGCCCGCUCGCCGGAAGACCAAGGGUUCCUGUCCAACGUUAAUCGGGGCAGGGUGAGUCGACCCCUAAGGCGAGGCCGAAAGGCGUAGUCGAUGGGAAACGGGUUAAUAUUCCCGUACUUGGUGUUACUGCGAAGGGGGGACGGAGAAGGCUAUGUUGGCCGGGCGACGGUUGUCCCGGUUUAAGCGUGUAGGUGUGUGUUCCAGGUAAAUCCGGUCCACUUUAACACUGAGGCGUGAUGACGAGGCACUACGGUGCUGAAGCAACAAAUGCCCUGCUUCCAGGAAAAGCCUCUAAGCAUCAGGUAACAUCAAAUCGUACCCCAAACCGACACAGGUGGUCAGGUAGAGAAUACCAAGGCGCUUGAGAGAACUCGGGUGAAGGAACUAGGCAAAAUGGUGCCGUAACUUCGGGAGAAGGCACGCUGACACGUAGGUGAAGUGAUUUACUCA